rnacentral:rRNA from 1 species
UACGGAGGGUGCAAGCGUUAUCCGGAAUCAUUGGGUUUAAAGGGUCCGCAGGCGGUUCUAUAAGUCAGUGGUGAAAUCUCUCGGCUCAACCGAGAAACUGCCAUUGAUACUGUAGGACUUGAAUUCGGUCGAAGUGGGCGGAAUAUGACAUGUAGCGGUGAAAUGCUUAGAUAUGUCAUAGAACACCGAUAGCGAAGGCAGCUCACUAGGCCUGGAUUGACGCUCAGGGACGAAAGCGUGGGGAUCAAACAGG